rnacentral:tmRNA from 2 species
GGGGAUGUUUAUGGAUUCGACGGGAAUGAUUGUGGGGUUAGGUUGCAUGUCGAUAAUCUUGGAUAUAUCGUAAAAUUUCCUUGAAACAAAUCUAAAUGCAAAUAAUGAUUACGCAUUAGCAGCCUAAUAGCGGUUGCUCGAUCUCUUUAAGUAGUCUGCCGGCUUUUAGAAGAUCGUCAUUAGGCAGGGUAGCCUUUUAUACUAAUCUCUGGGUUUAAAGGGCGGAAUUUUCAGGGAUAGCUUUUCUGGAAUUUAGUUGUUGGAAGAUCAGAAGAGCGAAGUUAAAACAACAACUAAGCAUGUAGAAGCUUAAUUUGACGCUUUUUCGGACAGGGGUUCGACUCCCCUCAUCUCCACUU